rnacentral:lncRNA from 1 species
GCGAGAGUGAGAGAGCUCAGGCGUGCGCCCUGCUCCGGCCUCACACGUUAUCUGGGCCUGACACGUGACCGCGACGCCACGUGACGCGGGUCUCGCCUCCGACCCCCCGCCCGGUCUCCGGCCGGCGGAAGCGGAAGGCGGGCGGUGGGUGCGGCUGGUCACCUCGUUGAGGGGCCUCUGGGUCCCGCCUGGGGCUGCCGGAUGAAAAGAGGGGCUGGGACCGGACAUGCGGCUCUCCGCCGCGGGCCGAGGGUGGGAGUCCCACGGCGGCCGCCCCACGGGAGACGAGAGGGCGUUUCCGCAGGGACGCUGAUGCUAACGCGUCUCUCGGCCUCGGGGCCCGUGGAGAAUCCGGGCUGGGGGGUAGGAAGGAGGGGGAUGUGAACACGCAUACUGUUACCCCUCGUGCUGGAAAAACACACAAGGCACAGGAUGUAAAGCUAGACACAAUCUUGAUUGAAGGGGCUUCAGAGGGUUCGGUGGCUCCCGGCUGUCACCUCGUCCUGGAGGCCGUGGGGGACUGGGCGGCCUCUUCCCGGAAGGUUCAGAAAGGCCCCAAGCUGCCCAGGGAAGGAAAUCGCAGCCUCGCUGCUUCCAGAACCUUCCUGAAGUGCCUCUCACUCACUCCCCAGUUCCUGAUUUGCUUCUAGGCUCUGCCUGGUUCUUCUCUUUUCUCGACUGCUGCCCGCGCUCUGGCCACACGGGCCCUUUGCAGAGAGAGGUGACGCCCUCCUGCCCUGCUGCUUCGUUGAGCACUUCCAACCCCACCCCCUGGGGAAACGUGCCUCCAGUUCACCUUCAGUGCAGGUGUGUUGGUUACUACCUGUCAUAGGCUUUGAUUUUUGUGACUUUUUUUGUUGUUCUUACAUUUGUUUGCUUUUUGUAGAUUUUGUCUUCCUUGUUCUUUCUUCCUGUCCAGUUUCCCUUCCCCGCCACCUUCUAACACCAUCAGCUGAACAAGUCGUGACACUGAAGGAUUUCAAAUGGCAAAGAGUCUCAGCGGGAUCCCAUUUAAGAGAAGUGCCGUCUGUUGAAGUGUGCCGUGGGAAAGAGGAGGUGUUGGAUCUGCGGUCUCUGUGCUUCACUGUGAGGUCCUUUAUCAGCAACAGAAAACAUCUUUUUACAGCCAGUGUGCUCCCUGUGGCUCCAGCGAGGUCUGCACAUUGCCCUUGA